rnacentral:lncRNA from 1 species
GAAGAUAUUGAAUGACCUGCGCCAUCACCUUCUUUCAAAAGCAUGUUCUCCGGCGAAACGCCCACAACCGCAAUAGAAUCAUCUCCGUUUACAGACUUAAUCUCUAAAUAUCUUGUUGUAGCUGUAUCAUCAACAUUAUCCUUGGACUCAUUUCCUAUUAGAGUGCACGCGGAAACUACCAUAUUUGUAUCUGAGACAUCUUCUUCGACCACCCACUAAAAAGGGGAAAAGGAGAGCAAAUCGGUCAUCAUUAUACUGGAAGCACAUG